AAGCAAUUUGAAGGCAUAAAUUUGCUGAAUUGUUAUCUGCUCCCCAUCACCCCAGCCUUUAACCAUUGUCUAGUCCUUACCAAGACCCUAAUUUUUUUUUUAAUAAUUCACCUUUAUCAAUACACAGAUGCUCUCUCCUUUUGCAGCCUUUUUCAUUACUAUGUGAAAUAUCUUUAAUUAAAUAAACUUACUAUGGUAACCCUAAGCAAGAAUAGGUUUAGAAGCAAACCACCUCGGCUCGGUGGGAGCCUGGCACCCUGGUGUCUCCUCCAGCUGGAGGGAGCAGGUGUGAACAGGUGCGCUCUCUCACAAGCCAGCAGCCAUAAAGUGCAACUGGCCUCGGUCGGCACCACCUGGGAUGGCCCGGGCAGCUUUGAUCAGCUCGGCCGAGUGACGUCAAUUGAGAUGUUCCCGCCGGCCCCAAAGGACUGUCACCAGGAGAAGCGACAUGUCAGGGAGCCAGGAAAGCAUGGAGAUGGUUCAGCGAAGCCCGGAGGAAUGACUUCAAGGGUGUCAAGCAAAGAAGGGGCAAAACGGGGACUCCCGGCCAAAGAAAAAGGAUUUGCAAGGGCACGGGGGCACGCGAAGAGCGAGGACAAGGCGGAAACCACAAGGAGAGACUGUAGGGUCCCCAAUCCGUAUGUGAGCACAAGCUGCGUCCAGGAUUCGGCAAGCGUCCCCCCAGCGACACCUAACAGUGAGGACGCCGUGUCUAGGACGUACUGGGAGACGCAACAAGGCUCAGAUCACUGUCUCCAAGCUGGUCCUCACAGCCUAACAGUGCCUCACCUCGCCCACCCCACCCAGCCCACCCCGAACAGUGUGAGGAAUGGCACCCAGCAGCGGGCGGGAGCAGCCAGGACGCGUGUGAGACAGAACCACCCAGCCCAGGCCACUUACUGGGGCACCAGAAACCAGCCUUAUCUAAGGGGGAGUCCUGAACACACACCACUUUGGACGAAAAACUGCUUUUCUAUAUUUGUGAUGCGGACAAUAUCAGACAUCAGAACCAACGUCCGGACCACCGCGGUCCGGCCAACGUGAAGCACGAGGGACAUCACAGGACGAACCAGACCUUCACUCGGGGCAGAGCAAGGAUGGGGUAGUGUGGGAUCAGCCGGCAAAAGAGAGUCAGGUGACCUCCCAGGAGAUCAAAUGAGAUUUGCUUUUGGAGAAGUGCAGGCUCAGCGGACACAGAGGCAUCACUCAUCUAUGAAAGAACUCCACGCAGCAUUUUGCCAAACGGCUCAGAGUUUCAGGAUAAAGAGAAACCCCGGGGACGGAGCCUUUCCAGCCAAAAUCAGCUUUGGCACAAAAGCAGGAAGUGAGAAGUCCACGUGCUCGGGCACAAACACCUGCUACCCGGCCACCACUUCCACAGCAAGUCCAGGCUCUGUGAGCAGCGCUGCGGCCCCCGGGCCUCGGGGAGGACGAGCAAACCCUUGCCGGGGGAGCACUGCAGAGAGAGUCUGACAGGCUUUAAAAGACGUGACGAGGAAGAACCGCUCCCCGUGGACGUUACGCACGUGGAAAAGGGCCAGGACCAGAAACUCCGUUAGGAAGAAGGGUUAUCCAAGCCCAAAUAGAAAGGAGACGCCGUCUAAUCACGUGGGCUUUUCAACUCAGCCCAAAUAUGUGGCAGAUAAGGACCAGACGAAAUUUCCCUUGCUAGCAUCACAUAAAGGAAUCCCUCCGACCAGAAUCACUUCAUUAUAAUUCCUUCCUGCCAACCGAUAAUUGUACCAUUCUACACAACAUAUAUCAUUCUGUGUCUG